UACGUAGGGGGCAAGCGUUGUCCGGAAUCAUUGGGCGUAAAGAGCGUGUAGGCGGCCCGGUAAGUCCGCUGUGAAAGUCAAAGGCUCAACCUUUGAAUGUCAGCGGAUACUGCCGGGCUAGAGUCCGGAAGGGGCGAGUGGAAUUCCUGGUGUAGCGGUGGAAUGCGCAGAUAUCAGGAGGAACACCAACGGCGAAGGCAGCUCGCUAGGACGGUACUGACGCUGAGACGCGAAAGCGUGGGGAGCAAACAGG
rnacentral:rRNA from 1 species